rnacentral:rRNA from 1 species
UGGGGAAUAUUGGACAAUGGGGGGAACCCUGAUCCAGCGAUGCCGCGUGGGUGAAGAAGGCCUUCGGGUUGUAAAGCCCUUUAGGUUGGGAAGAAGGAUACUAGGUUAAGAGCUAGGUAUUUUGACGGUACCGACAGAAUAAGCACCGGCAAACUCUGUGCCAGCAGCCGCGGUAAUACAGAGGGUGCGAGCGUUAAUCGGAAUUACUGGGCGUAAAGGGCGCGUAGGCGGUUGUAUAUGUGUGAUGUGAAAGCCCCGGGCUUAACCUGGGAAGUGCAUCGCGAACUGUAUAACUGGAGUAUAUGAGAGGGUGGCGGAAUUUCCGGUGUAGCGGUGAAAUGCGUAGAGAUCGGAAGGAACGUCAAUGGCGAAGGCAGCCACCUGGCAUAAUACUGACGCUGAGGCGCGAAAGCGUGGGGAGCGAACAG